CGUCAAGCUGCAUGGCUCGAGAUUUGUAAAGAAUUAUACGAAAAUUAUGAGGACUUCAGUGACACAGAAAAAAAGUCAACAGAAAAAAAAAUACAAGCGCGAUGGAAAACCGCGAGAGAUUGCUAUACGAAAGUCAAAGCUAGUAACAAGAAACUUAAGUCUGGUUCUGGUGCUAAAAAAGGAAAAGGGUACAGCUAUUAUAAUAUUAUGACUUUUCUGGACUCUAACAAAAGAGUAGAAGGACAAGAAUCUUUGGAAAAUUCUCAGGACGACUCUUCGGGUCAUACAAGUACACUUGAAUUGUCCCAACACCCAAUAGUUGACACUAGUGAGGUGUUAAUACCUGAGACCAGUACAUCUGGAAAUGAAAAUGACACAGCAA
rnacentral:lncRNA from 1 species